ACGCUGGCGGCGUGCCUAAUACAUGCAAGUAGAACGCUGAAGAGAGGAGCUUGCUCUUCUUGGAAGAGUUGCGAACGGGUGAGUAACGCGUAGGUAACCUGCCUUGUAGCGGGGGAUAACUAUUGGAAACGAUAGCUAAUACCGCAUAACAAUGGGUGACCCAUGUCAUUCAUUUGAAAGGGGCAACUGCUCCACUACAAGAUGGACCUGCGUUGUAUUAGCUAGUAGGUGAGGUAACGGCUCACCUAGGCGACGAUACAUAGCCGACCUGAGAGGGUGAUCGGCCACACUGGGACUGAGACACGGCCCAGACUCCUACGGGAGGCAGCAGUAGGGAGUCUUCGGCAAUGGGGGCAACCCUGACCGAGCAACGCCGCGUGAGUGAAGAAGGUUUUCGGAUCGUAAAGCUCUGUUGUAAGUCAAGAACGAGUGUGAGAGUGGAAAGUUCACACUGUGACGGUAGCUUACCAGAAAGGGACGGCUAACUACGUGCCAGCAGCCGCGGUAAUACGUAGGUCCCGAGCGUUGUCCGGAUUUAUUGGGCGUAAAGCGAGCGCAGGCGGUUUGAUAAGUCUGAAGUUAAAGGCUGUGGCUCAACCAUAGUUCGCUUUGGAAACUGUCAAACCUGAGUGCAGAAGGGGAGAGUGGAAUUCCAUGUGUAGCGGUGAAAUGCGUAGAUAUAUGGAGGAACACCGGUGGCGAAAGCGGCUCUCUGGUCUGUAACUGACGCUGAGGCUCGAAAGCGUGGGGAGCGAACAGGAUUAGAUACCCUGGUAGUCCACGCCGUAAACGAUGAGUGCUAGGUGUUGGGUCCUUUCCGGGAUUCAGUGCCGCAGCUAACGCAUUAAGCACUCCGCCUGGGGAGUACGACCGCAAGGUUGAAACUCAAAGGAAUUGACGGGGGCCCGCACAAGCGGUGG
rnacentral:rRNA from 1 species